rnacentral:rRNA from 1 species
CCUACGGGAGGCAGCAGUGGGGAAUAUUGCACAAUGGGGGAAACCCUGAUGCAGCGACGCCGCGUGAGUGAAGAAGUCUUUCGGUACGUAAAGCUCUAUCAGCAGGGAAGAAAAUGACGGUACCUGUCUAUGAAGCCACGGCUAACUACGUGCCAGAAGCCGUGGUACUACGGAGGGGGCAACCGUUAUCCGGAUUUACUGGGUGUAAAGGGAGCGUAGACGGCAGGGCAAGUCUGAAGUGAAAUUCCAUGGCUUAACCAUGAAACUGCAAUGGAAACUGGGCAGCUGGAGUACAGUAGAGGUAAGCGGAAUUCGUAGUGUAGCGGUGAAAUGCGUAGAUAUUAGGAGGAACACCAGUGGCGAAGGCAGCUUACUGGACUGUAACUGACGUUGAGGCUCGAAAGCGUGGGGAGCAAACAGGAUUAGAUACCCGGGUAGUC